rnacentral:rRNA from 2 species
AGACCCGAAACCCGGUGAUCUAGCCAUGGGCAGGUUGAAGGUUGGGUAACACUAACUGGAGGACCGAACCGACUAAUGUUGAAAAAUUAGCGGAUGACCUGUGGCUGGGGGUGAAAGGCCAAUCAAACCGGGAGAUAGCUGGUUCUCCCCGAAAGCUAUUUAGGUAGCGCCUCGUGAACUCAUCUCCGGGGGUAGAGCACUGUUUCGGCUAGGGGGCCAUCCCGGCUUACCAACCCGAUGCAAACUGCGAAUACCGGAGAAUGUUAUCACGGGAGACACACGGCGGGUGCUAACGUCCGUCGUGAAGAGGGAAACAACCCAGACCGCCAGCUAAGGUCCCAAAGUCAUGGUUAAGUGGGAAACGAUGUGGGAAGGCCCAGACAGCCAGGAUGUUGGCUUAGAAGCAGCCAUCAUUUAAAGAAAGCGUAAUAGCUCACUGGUCGAGUCGGCCUGCGCGGAAGAUGUAACGGGGCUAAACCAUGCACCGAAGCUGCGGCAGCGACACUUUAGUGUUGUUGGGUAGGGGAGCGUUCUGUAAGCCGUUGAAGGUGUCCUGUGAGGGGUGCUGGAGGUAUCAGAAGUGCGAAUGCUGACAUAAGUAACGAUAAAGCGGGUGAAAAGCCCGCUCGCCGGAAGACCAAGGGUUCCUGUCCAACGUUAAUCGGGGCAGGGUGAGUCGACCCCUAAGGCGAGGCCGAAAGGCGUAGUCGAUGGGAAACGGGUUAAUAUUCCCGUACUUGGUGUUACUGCGAAGGGGGGACGGAGAAGGCUAUGUUGGCCGGGCGACGGUAGUCCCGGUUUAAGCGUGUAGGCUGGUUUUCCAGGCAAAUCCGGAAAAUCAAGGCUGAGGCGUGAUGACGAGGCACCACGGUGCUGAAGCAACAAAUGCCCUGCUUCCAGGAAAAGCCUCUAAGCAUCAGGUAACAUCAAAUCGUACCCCAAACCGACACAGGUGGUCAGGUAGAGAAUACCAAGGCGCUUGAGAGAACUCGGGUGAAGGAACUAGGCAAAAUGGUGCCGUAACUUCGGGAGAAGGCACGCUGACAC